CCUACGGGAGGCUGCAGUGAGGAAUAUUGGUCAAUGGCCGGAAGGCUGAACCAGCCAUGCCGCGUGAAGGUCAGUGCCCUAUGGGCGUUAAACUUCUUUUGUGCGGGAGCAAUAAUGGUCACGUGUGGCCAGACGAGUGUACCGUUCGCAUAAGCAUCAGCUAACUCCGUACCAGCAGCCGCGGUAAUACGGGGGAUGCAAGCGUUAUCCGAAUUUCUUGGGUUUAAAGGGGGCGUAGGCGGGGUGGUUAGUCAGCGGGUAAAUGCCCCGCUCAACGGGGUGAAGUGUCAUUGAUUCUGCGUUGCUGGGAUGCGGAUGCCGUGGGAGGAAUGUGUGGUGUAGCGGUGAAAUGCAUAGAUAUCACACAGAACACCGAUUGCGAAGGCAUCUCACGAAUCCGCGAUUGACGCUGAUGCACGAAAGCGUGGGUAUCAAACAGGAUUAGAUACCCGAGUAGUC
rnacentral:rRNA from 1 species